GCCGGUCUUACAAGACUACACAACAAGUAGUAGUAUAAUUAUAAAAUAAUAUUAUAAUAUAAUAAUAAUAAUGAUAAAUAUCAUAUAUUAUAUUAUAAGUAAAGAGAAAACAAUAGAAAUGUUUCGACGAAUUAGUAUUAACAUAACAACAACUAAUUAAGGGAAUUAGUUUUUCCAACAAAACGAGUAUUGAGUACCUAGGUAUCAAUAUUUUUAUAUUAUAAUUUUUUUUUUUUUUGAUGUCUAACUUUCAAUGCGCAUUUUAAUGACCCGAAAUUACGGUACAUUCAAUGUAGUACAAUAACAUAAUGAACAUCAUUUGGCAUUGUUACUAGGCCGUGGUCACAAUUAAAUUAAGACGUCCUAGGAUUCACACGUAAUUUAAUACCUACGAGGUGUAGGUAUCAAAUAACGUCAAACAAUACUAAAGAAAGUUUUAAGUAGCCAAUGUAUGCUAUUUGUAGUUGCUGUAAUAAUAUCAAGUAAAAGAACUUAUACUUACUAUAAAGA